GGUCAGAACGACCUGACGCGAGGCAUUUAGCUGUGAUCAGUACACAGGAAACAGGAGUGUGAUGAAUUCAUGCCUACUCCCUCUCUGUAUCCAGGAUUCAAGCAAACAUCCACAUAGAUACAGAGGCUCUUUGCCUCUUUGGAAACCCCACACUCAAGCUUUGCUCUUCUCCAUGGCAGAAAAGAGGAUGCUUUGGUUUGCUGCCUUCCUUAUACUCCUGGCUGUUCCAGGCAAUGCCCAGGGAUCCAAACACAUCUGUAGAACUGCAGGGGGUCAGUGCCGGAUGGGAACCUGCCUUUCGGGUGAAGUCAGGAUUGGGGACUGUUUUAGCCCCGUAAUCCUAUGCUGCAAAAAGUACCCAGUGCGCAAGACAACCAGAGAAUUGCAAAGAGGUGCCUGAUCCUUCGGCAAUGGUCUCUUCUGUUCCCCUCUCACGCGAGGCGGCAACUUUGUGUGUUUUGAAUUGCGUGCAGUAGACCUGUGUGUUUUCUAAAGGAGAUGUUGUGCCUUUCUGUGCUUGUUCUCUUGGCUCUUCACUGCCAGGUGUCAGCUGAGAGUCCAUCAGCCCCAUAUCCAAGCUGCCCAUCCUGGCCUGAGGAACAAAAUCAGAGCUGCAAUGGUCUUCCCUUGGCUUGGAACCUCCCAGGGGGCCAAGGCAUGGAGCCACCAUGACACGUGCGUGUGUGUGUGUGUGUGCGUGUGUGCACGUGUUUAUCCUGAUUGCCUCCCAAACGCUGUCACUAGAUUACGUGUGUGUGACCUCAGGGGUAGGGAAAGCCUUGUAGCCAUUAGCCUCAGGUCAGUGUCCAUGCUUCUUAUCUUCCUGUGUGGAAAGCAAUAAAUGUGGAGUUUAACAGA